rnacentral:misc_RNA from 1 species
GAUGCUGUGGAGGCAGAGUUGUAAGUGGGGCCCAUCUGGGGAGUGCUGUAGAAGCGGAGGUGGUGGGACCAGGAGGUGUCGUCGGAUUUCCGGCGAGCAACGUAUGGAGAAACGGAGCGAGGGAACAUGAUAGGAGGUGGCUGAGCGUCUGAUUUGCGACUAUCAUCUACGGCGGCGCUUGAGUGGAGACAAGCCAAUUGAGGAUGGUGGUGUAUCUGUUGAACCUGAGCCUGUGCGGCGAUGAGGACGAUGAGGCGUUCCCGGAGACAGGAGGCGCAGACGCCGACGGUGCUACUGAGGUCACAGGGAUGUUUCUUACACCUCAUUUAUUGGGAGUGCAAAAAUGUUAAAAAUGUAAGGUAUAUAUUGUGUGAUUGAUUGGGAAUAUAACAGUAGGGCGUUCAUGCGGCGGAGGUGGUCUCCAGUGCCAUUUUUCUGGGUGUGGUUAGCUCCUGCUGGAGGAUGAAGAGAUCUGAUGAGGAAAUCAAAGCGGAGGGUUUGUCUCCUUGUUAGUUUUUAUUAAUAAAAAGAAAAGGCGAGAGUAGACGAGCGUUUUUAUGCCAGAGAGUGAGCAUUCGGUUGUUGGAGUUUUAAAUGUCUAGUGUAUGGUGUUUCUUUAUUAAACGCUAGAGAGAGAGAGAGAGAGUCUAAGUUUAAAAAUCGACCGAGGGCACCCUGUAUUUCUUUUGCAACACCAAAAUGGGAAUCUAUAUGCAAAGACUCGUAUUCAUUAUAUCUUGAGAUAGCUUUUCAAG